rnacentral:misc_RNA from 1 species
ACGACUUUUCUGCGCGAGUGAGCGUUGUUUGUGCUGUGGUGAUUAAAAUUUUUUUUUGGAAAUAUUGCUGGAAAAUCGAUGAUAUUUCUAAUUGCAAAUAUUAGAAUUGAUAUAAUUUAAAGAAAAAGUGUCUUAUUAAAGUGAUUGUGAGUGUUUGAGGAUUUCGGGAAGUUAUAUACAAUUCGUUGAAAGUUUUGCGUGCAAAGUCAAAUAGUUACAUGUGUGCGUGCAAUGAAUGGAUAAAUAAACGGAAGAAAGAAAAAUAAGAACGCAUAAAAAGCAGAGAGAAAAGAGUAGCAGACGACGACAAAGGGAAGAAUCGCCAUCACCCAAGACAACGGCAUUUGAGCAACAGCAGAAUAAAUAAAAUUGAUACAAAUAUUAUAAUGGAAAUUUGCAAAAUAAAUAGUUGUAAAUACAUUUAAAUAAAUAAAUAAUCCAAAUAAUAGUCAAGCAGUCAUAUAUAUUUAUGUACGCGUAAGGAGUAUUGAUAGCAUUGGCAUUUAUUACAAGAUAAGAACUUAGAAAGAAUUACGCACAGUUAGGACGCGGCAGCAGUGAAAAUAACUUGCUAAGCACGAAAAAGGGAUACAUAGGUAUUCAUGCGUACAUACGUUUGCAUAUGCGCACCCCCGACGCCUAUGAUUAAUACUCGUAUCAUUUCGCCAAAGUACAUAAACUGCUCAUAAUCUAACGAUAGCUUGUAUUUAAACAAAUUUGGUAAAAUAAGCACCACAAAAAGAAAAAUUAACUGCCAUUUAAACCAGAAUACAAUAUUAAAUUAAAUAACAAACGACCUAAACAAAAAAAGGUCAUUAAAAAGCAAACAUUUAAAUAAGUCGUAUUAACUAAUAUCAGUUUAUACAGUUCCAAAAUGUGGAACUCCGAUACACGUUCACAGAACGGUGUGAGCAAUUCAUCCACUGGAUCGCCCAGUUAUGGCGGUUACAAUUCCAGCAACGGAAAUGGCAGAAAUGGUUCGCCACAUCAUCAGCAACAACAGCAACAGCAGCAAGUUAAGCAGCUGGGUAUGACAUCUGCCAUCAGCUUGGCAGAGCCACGUAGUGAAGAUUUACAGAAGACCGAAGAACUACGUAAAGCUUUAGAACCGUUUAAAGUGUUCGAAACUCAAGAUGAGCUUAAUCAUCGUAUGGAGAUUUUAGCCAAACUCAAUACGUUGGUCAAACAAUGGGUUAAAGAUGUGUCAAUGUCCAAGAAUAUGCCCGAGGCCGCUGCCGAAAAAUUAGGUGGCAAAAUUUACACUUUCGGUUCAUAUCGCCUGGGUGUACAUCAUAAGGGAGCCGAUAUUGAUGCGCUCUGUGUGGCGCCGCGCAAUAUCGAACGCACGGAUUAUUUUUCUUCAUUCUUUGACUUGUUAAAGAAGCAAUCCGAAGUGACGGAGUGUCGUUCGGUGGAAGAGGCUUUUGUGCCGGUUAUAAAAAUGAAUUUUGAUGGCAUUGAAAUUGAUUUGUUAUUUGCGCGUCUCUCACUCAAGGAGAUACCGGAUGAUUUUGAUUUACGCGAUGAUAAUUUGCUGAAAAAUUUAGAUCCACGUUCGGUGCGCAGUUUGAACGGUUGUCGAGUGACGGAUGAAAUUCUAGCGCUCGUGCCAAAUAUAGAGAAUUUCCGUUUGGCGUUACGUUCCAUCAAGUUGUGGGCGAAAAAACAUGGCAUUUACUCAAAUUCGUUGGGUUACUUUGGCGGUGUGACGUGGGCUAUGUUGGUGGCGCGCACUUGCCAGCUUUAUCCAAAUGCUACAGCCUCAACGCUGGUGCAUAAAUUCUUUUUGGUCUUCUCACGUUGGAAGUGGCCAAAUCCUGUGCUACUCAAGCACCCCGACAAUGUUAAUUUACGGUUUCCGGUUUGGGAUCCACGUGUAAACGCUUCGGAUCGCUACCAUCUUAUGCCCAUCAUAACACCGGCAUAUCCACAACAGAAUUCCACAUUCAAUGUGUCGGAAUCUACAAAGAAAGUUAUACUUAAUGAAUUUAACCGCGGCAUGAUUACCACGGACGAAAUAAUGCUUGGACGUGCUGCGUGGGAUCGUCUCUUUGAGGCGCCAAGUUUCUUUUACAAAUAUCGUCACUUCAUAGUGCUUUUAGUCACAUCUCAGACAGGCGAUGAUCAACUGGAGUGGUGUGGCUUAGUCGAAUCGAAGAUUCGUCUAUUAGUUGGUAAUUUAGAGCGUAAUCAACACAUUUCAUUGGCACAUGUAAAUCCAACAUGUUUCGACUAUAAGAAAACCGCUGCCACCACACAAACCAACAAUGGCAAUGAGGAAGACAAAACACAGUCGGGUGGCAAUCCAACAGUUUGUCAAGCACCAUUCUGUUCGAUGUGGUUCAUCGGUUUGGAAUUUGAACGCACCGAGAAUUUGAAUGUUGACCUUACAGAGAGUAUACAAAACUUUACCGAACAUGUCAUACAGCAUGGCGUAAACAUAAAAAUGCUGAAAGAUGGCAUGCAUAUUGAGGCGCGCCAUGUGAAGCGUAAAUCGCUCUCGCAGUAUUUGGAUACGGAUUUCUUGAAGCGUGAACGCAAAUCCAUGGAACAGCAUAAUAAUUUUAAUAAUGCAAUUUUAGCGAAUCGCAAACGUUUGUCGACCGAAUUGUCUACACAGAAAGAGGGGGGUAGCGCUAAAAAGCCGCGCUUAAGUGAAUCGCAAACGGAGGAGAACUCAAAUGCGUCAAGUGAUGCCGGCGGCUUAACGCCGACCACACAGCCGACUAGCGCACCGAACUUCACACCCGACGCAAAGAGCACCAAUAACGGUGGUUCUGGCUCUGGCUCCGGUUCGAAUUCGCCACGCAACAGCAAUGGCAAUGGCGGUGGCAACAGUGUCAACAAUCAAAACACAAAUAGUAAUAGUAGCAACAGCACAACAACAACACCAACAGCUGCAACUGCUGCUGCUAGCGCGGAAGUGGCCUGCUCGUGACCGACGCUCACCACAGCACCGAAUCCGAUACCGCCGUCGCUGCCGCAACCGCCGCCGCCACCACAUCAACAACAACAACCACAACAAACACAAACUCAUUACAUGUCGCAUUCACUUCAUAACACCAUUCACAACACACACGCCACACUCCAUCACACACACUCAUCCAUCGUUUCGCAUUCACAGAAAUUUCGCAAAAACAAUAAUGCCGCAGCCGUUGCCAAUUCAAAUAGCAUAUUUAGUCAGCGUGCCACCUCCAUACCGGGACACACCAGCAACACCGCAGCAAUGGCCUUUAAGCAGGGCUUGCCCACGGCCUCGUCCAUCUACCAAAGGAACAACAAUAGUCGACGUUUGCAACAUCAUAUGUCUUCGGCUGGUAUGCCGGGUGUAUUGGGUGGUAGUGGCGGUGGUGGUGUGAUUGGUGGUGAGAAGCCGCUAACCUUUUCCACCUCAAAAUCGACAACUGUAAAUGCCAACAACAAUCAGCAUCAAUAUACAAAUUAUACAAAUUGCGACAACAACAAUAGGAAUAGUAGUUACAAUGCCGGCGCUGCUCCGGCAGUUGCUUCAAACGCUGUUGUUGGCAGCACCGCCGCAACAGUUACAGCCAGCAUUCCCAAUAGCAACGACAACAACAGUUUUAGUUACAAUAAUUCAUGCAACACAACAGCAACAACGCCGGACGGCGAUGACAGCGACGAUCUGUUUAUGAUGAGCGAUAACACUACAACAAAACAACAACAACAACAACAACUAUUAAUUCAUAAAAAUCUUUUUAUUAUAAGGAAUCAUAUAUAAACACAUGCAUAUAUCUAAAUAUAUAUAGCCUAGCUUGUAAGGAUACUUAAAGCAGCGAGUCGAUGUGGUUCACCUAACCACAAAUAUUUGCGUGUAUACAAUUAUAUACGGCCUAUGGCUUAACUCCACAACUCAUUUUAACAUUUAAUUGCAACAAUUGGCAUAGCGUACAAGUUCAUCGUUUUAAAAUUACACAUACAUGCAUAAAUAUGCUGAUUUAUAACGGAGAGGAUGCUUACAUUGGCGCAAACUCCGAAGAUUUGGCCAAGAGAUUUGGAUUUCGGACACGACACUAAAAGAGCGUUACAUGCGGCACUUAAGGGUCCAUAUACAUACAUACAACGGGUCCCGUUGCUGCUUUAAUUGGCCGAAUGCCUUUCCCAACGUCAUACAUACAAAUGUGUCUAUAUUUGGCCAAACAUUAUGCUAAGCAACAUUUUAAUCCUUCUCCUAGAUAGAACCUUCUACUACUACUACUACUACUCUUAAGCCACUCUACAUGGAUAACAAUUCGCAAUAAUUGUUAUUUAACUCUUUUUUUUGCAGCGAUUUCGCAACGCAUACAUAAAGCGUAAGAAAGAUGCAAGCGCUGUGUUGCACCGUUUGACAACAAAAACAACUGAAUUUUUAUGUUAGGCUUUAUCUCACGAACGACCGUAUAUGCUGACCACACAUACAACACAACUUGACUAUGGUUACAUACAUACACACAUACAUACGUAUUUAUUUACAUAAAUACUCUACAAGACCGCAACAACAAUUAAAAUUUCUGCGAAAGCAAACCUUUUUUACUACACUUUUUGAAGAAAAAAAUAUUAAAAACAAAGUGUUUUUAACAAACAAUUUUUUUCUACCAAAACACACCACACCGACCACUCCUAUUUAUUUCAAUUAUUUUCCAAAUCCACUUUUCUUCACCACUACCACCACCACUUCCUUCCUACCAACAAACACACACACUUCCUUACGUUUUUUUUAUGAAAUUCGACUCGUCUCAACUUUAAAACUUAAGCUCGUCUGUUAGUUGAAAUUAAAUUGAUACAAAAAUGCAAGUAUAUUGAAAGUGUUACUUAAUGCUGAAAAAAAGCCGAAAAAACUAUGAAGCAACAAACAAAGAUGCGUAAGAAAGAAAGAAAACUGAAAAACAAAAACUGGAGAAAAAAGGUAAAGAAAAAAUUCAAUAAUCAUUACAAAAAAGUUUCAAAAUAUUUCCAAAUUACAUUUUAUCCAUAAUUUACAUUAAAUAAAAAAUAAAAUAAAUAAAAACAAAGUUACAGAAAUAAAGCGCAAA